rnacentral:piRNA from 3 species
UACAUAGCAAGCACCAGGACAACUAG